AGUGCUAAGAGAAUGGAUUUUCAAAAAAAUUCUUUUUUGAAUUUAAAAAUUGAAGUUAUUUUUAUUUGUGAAGAAACAAUAAUAUAAAUUAAGGACAAGAAGACCCUAUGAAUUUUUGUAAAUGUAUUAAUAUUAAUAUUAAUACAUUUUCUUAAUUGGGGCGAUUAAAAAACAUUAUUAACUUUUAUAAAUAUAAAUAUGAUCCAUUAAUAAUGAUUUCAUGAAAAAAAUACUCUAGGGAUAACAGCG
rnacentral:rRNA from 1 species